CAAGGCGACGAUCCCUAGCUGGUCUGAGAGGAUGACCAGCCACACUGGAACUGAGACACGGUCCAGACUCCUACGGGAGGCAGCAGUGGGGAAUAUUGCACAAUGGGCGCAAGCCUGAUGCAGCCAUGCCGCGUGUAUGAAGAAGGCCUUCGGGUUGUAAAGUACUUUCAGCGGGGAGGAAGGUGUUGUGGUUAAUAACCACAGCAAUUGACGUUACCCGCAGAAGAAGCACCGGCUAACUCCGUGCCAGCAGCCGCGGUAAUACGGAGGGUGCAAGCGUUAAUCGGAAUUACUGGGCGUAAAGCGCACGCAGGCGGUCUGUCAAGUCGGAUGUGAAAUCCCCGGGCUCAACCUGGGAACUGCAUUCGAAACUGGCAGGCUUGAGUCUUGUAGAGGGGGGUAGAAUUCCAGGUGUAGCGGUGAAAUGCGUAGAGAUCUGGAGGAAUACCGGUGGCGAAGGCGGCCCCCUGGACAAAGACUGACGCUCAGGUGCGAAAGCGUGGGGAGCAAACAGGAUUAGAUACCCUGGUAGUCCACGCCGUAAACGAUGUCUACUUGGAGGUUGUGCCCUUGAGGCGUGGCUUCCGGAGCUAACGCGUUAAGUAGACCGCCUGGGGAGUACGGCCGCAAGGUUAAAACUCAAAUGAAUUGACGGGGGCCCGCACAAGCGGUGGAGCAUGUGGUUUAAUUCGAUGCAACGCGAAGAACCUUACCUGGUCUUGACAUCCACGGAAGUUUUCAGAGAUGAGAAUGUGCCUUCGGGAACCGUGAGACAGGUGCUGCAUGGCUGUCGUCAGCUCGUGUUGUGAAAUGUUGGGUUAAGUCCCGCAACGAGCGCAACCCUUAUCCUUUGUUGCCAGCGGUCCGGCCGGGAACUCAAAGGAGACUGCCAGUGAUAAACUGG
rnacentral:rRNA from 1 species